AACGAACGUUGGCGGCGUGGAUUAGGCAUGCAAGUCGUACGAGAAUCGUAGCAAUACGAGGAAAGUGGCGGAAGGGAGAGGAUUACGUGGGAAUCUACCCUCAGAACUGGGAUAGCGGCGGGAAACUGCCGGUAAUACCAGAUAAUGUCUGUGGACCAAAGGUGUGAUUCCGUCUGGGGAUGAGCCCACGUCCUAUUAGCUAGUUGGCAGGGUAAUGGCCUACCAAGGCAAUGAUGGGUAGCGGGUGUGAGAGCAUGACCCGCCUCACUGGGACUGAGAGCUGCCCAGAAACCUACGGGUGGCUGCAGUCGAGAAUCUUCGGCAAUGGGCGCAAGCUUGACCGAGCGACGCCGCGUGCGGGAUGAAGGCCUUCGGGUUGUAAACCGCUGUCGUAGGGGAGCAAGAGAUGAGGGUACUCCCUCUGAUUUGAGCGAUCCUAGGAGGAAGGACGGGCUAAGUUCGUGCCAGCAGCCGCCGUAAAAC
rnacentral:rRNA from 1 species